rnacentral:rRNA from 1 species
CAGCAGCCACGGGAAUACGAAGGGGGCUAGCGUUGCUCGGAAUGACUGGGCGUAAAGGGCGCGUAGGCGGUUUUGACAGUCAGAUGUGAAAUUCCUGGGCUUAACCUGGGGGCUGCAUUUGAGACGUCAAGACUAGAGUGUGAGAGAGGGUUGUGGAAUUCCCAGUGUAGAGGUGAAAUUCGUAGAUAUUCGCAAGAACACCGGUGGCGAAGGCGGCUCACUGGCCCGGAACUGACGCUGAGGCACGAAAGCGUGGGGAGCAAACAGGAUUAGAUACCCCCGUAGUCCCUGUCUCUUAUAC